rnacentral:misc_RNA from 1 species
AAGACUAUAGACCUGCGGAGUACCUGCGGAAGGAUCAUUAACGUAUCUAUGAUGGGGUGCGGAGCGCCCUGCUCCGGUCGAACGGCCGUGCAGUGGGCGCGCCGCCCCCGUCCCACCUCACAAACCCACUGUGAACAUUCACCGGUGGAGGGGGCUCGGUCUGCGCCGUGUCCCCGAUGCCGAAUACCCAAACUCCAGUUGCAAAGAACGUCGUGCGGACUCGGUGCCGCCUAAAACAUG